rnacentral:tRNA from 1 species
GCUGAUGUAGCUCAGCGGCAGAGCGGUGCAUUCGUAAUGCACUGGUCGGGGGUUCGAAUCCCCCCAUCAGCU